rnacentral:rRNA from 1 species
AGAGUUUGAUCCUGGCUCAGGAUGAACGCUGGCGGCGCGCCUAACACAUGCAAGUCGAACGGUUAAAGCACCUUCGGGUGUGUAUAAAGUGGCGAACGGCUGAGUAACACGUGGGCAACCUGCCCCUCGCACCGGGAUAGCCUCGGGAAACCGUGGUUAAUACCGGAUACUCCGGGACCCCCGCAUGGGGGUGCCGGGAAAGCCCUGACGGCGAGGGAUGGGCCCGCGGCCUGUUAGCUUGUUGGCGGGGUAACGGCCCACCAAGGCGAUUAUGGGUAGCCGGGUUGAGAGACCGACCGGCCAGAUUGGGACUGAGACACGGCCCAGACUCCUACGGGAGGCAGCAGUGGGGAAUCUUGCACAAUGGGCGAAAGCCUGAUGCAGCGACGCCGCGUGCGGGACGAAGGCCUUCGGGUUGUAAACCGCUUUCAGCAGGGACGAGGCCGCAAGGUGACGGUACCUGCAGAAGAAGCCCCGGCUAACUACGUGCCAGCAGCCGCGGUAAUACGUAGGGGGCGAGCGUUAUCCGGAUUCAUUGGGCGUAAAGCGCGCGUAGGCGGCCUGCUAGGUCGGGACUCAAAUCCGGGGGCUCAACCCCCGCCCGGUCCCGAUACCGACAGGCUUGAGUCUGGUAGGGGAAGGCGGAAUUCCAAGUGUAGCGGUGGAAUGCGCAGAUAUUUGGAAGAACACCGGUGGCGAAGGCGGCCUUCUGGGCCACGACUGACGCUGAGGCGCGAAAGCUAGGGGAGCGAACAGGAUUAGAUACCCUGGUAGUCCUAGCCGUAAACGAUGGACACUAGGUGUGGGGGGAUGUGCCCUCCGUGCCGCAGCCAACGCAUUAAGUGUCCCGCCUGGGGAGUACGGCCGCAAGGCUAAAACUCAAAGGAAUUGACGGAAGGGCGAAUU